GCCUGGGUAGCUCAGUGGUAGAGCAUUCCCUUGGUAAGGGAAAGGUCGGUGGUCCAAUUCCACUCUCAGGCU
rnacentral:tRNA from 1 species